rnacentral:rRNA from 1 species
GUGGGGAAUAUUGCACAAUGGGGGAAACCCUGAUGCAGCGACGCCGCGUGAGUGAUGAAGGCCUUCGGGUCGUAAAGCUCUGUCGUAUGGGACUAACAAAAUGAAGGUACCAUGCAAGAAAGGAUCGGCUAACUUCGUGCCAGCAGCCGCGGUAAGACGAGGGAUCCUAGCGUUGUUCGGAAUUAUUGGGCGUAAAGCGGGUGUAGGCGGGCCUGUCAGUCAGGUGUGAAAUCCCAGGGCUUAACCCUGGAAGUGCACUUGAUACUGCAGGUCUUGAGUGUGGUAGAGGCUAUUAGAAUUCUUGGUGUAGUGGUGAAAUACGUAGAUAUCAAGAGGAAUACCGGAGGCGAAGGCGGAUAGUUGGGCCAACACUGACGCUGAGACCCGAAAGCGUGGGGAUCAAACAGGAUUAGAUACCCUAGUAGUCC